CUCCUGUUGUACCGGAGGAGCCCCGUAGGCGGCGCAGCGUAGAUAAUUGACUUUAGUCUAAAAGGAGAGAAACGAGCGUGCGGUUGGCGUUGGCGUCGUAAACCGAUGUCAGCGAGGAAAACGUUUGAUAGACGUGAGUUGGACAGUUGAGGUUACACGAGGAACAGUAACGUACGACUGCCGAGGGAGGCGGUGACGGGCACCCGAACUAGCUAGCUAACUUUAGCAUCAGACUCCCAGAGUCAAUUGAAGAAUGCAGGUGAAAUGGACUCAGCCACUUCAUAUAUAAAUUGUGGAAGUGAGUUUGAAAAUGUGAGAGCAGCAUGAUGCACCAACGGAGUGUCACAAGGGCAUAUGCAGUGCAACACUAACAUCUCCAAUCUUGACUUCCCAAAGCAAAGGAAAAACAAGAUGAGGACACUGGACCUGUGGUGAGGGUGGGUUUCCGCUUCCUUGGCCGCCCCGGUCCUCGUCGUGCUGGGCUGCGAGGUGUUUCCUCCUUCCUGCUUGCACACGCAAACAGACAGAGAGGAACUCGUGAGAUACUACACAUAUAAACAUAUAAACUCCAGAGGUUGACACA